UUGAUUGCCAAAUUCUGACUCCUCCUUCACUUUGUGACAUUGGCCAGAGUCCCGGGCUGGAGGCUCAGCUUCCUUGUCACAGAGCCGCUGCUGUAUAGAAGCCCCAUAAAGGCAUGUAGCAUUAGACCCAUGAGUGUGCCUGGUGAAGUUCCCUAGGAAGUGUUGGAAGACAGCUUUGAAGUGCAGGUGAGGACCAUGUCUCUGUUUUCAUCACUUCUUCUUCUUCUCCUGAGUAUGUCGACAUCUCAUUCAGAAACUGUACCCAAUGAGGAUAUCUGAACCACCUGCCCUGUGAUUGCCUGUGGUUCUCCAGGAUUGAAUGGUUUCCCGGGCAAAGAUGGACAUGAUGAUGCUAAGGGAGAAAA